rfam:Strongyloides venezuelensis genome assembly, scaffold: SVE_scaffold0000006
CGAAAGACUCUCUUUAGAGCCACCUAUUAUUAAUAAUAUAUUAUUU